GGUUGCGUUAUUUACUAUUGACUGAAUUGAAUCAACUCAACACAGUCACAGCUAUUUUUCAAAUGAAGAUGCAUGGGUUGCUUUUUGAAAAUAGCUCCAGUUAAGGGUAAGGGAAAGUUGGUUUUAAAGGGACACUCUGAGUACUAUAACCACUUCAUAUCAAUGCAAUGGUUAUAGUGCCUUGGGUCAUCUCUCCAUUCAAGAUUUAACACCGAAUUAUGGUCUCCCCUGCAGCCCUAGUACCUCUGCUAAACACUGCCAUCCUAAUUCGUAGCAGCAAUGAGUGUUCUAGGCAGAAAACGCUCAGCCUAUCACUGUUGCCAUUUUUGCUUGGUUUAUUAACAGUUUGACUCUUAUCUUGCUGUAUCAGGUGUCCAUGUUCUUUCCUGUCUGAGUUGGUCUUAUAAAGCAGAGGUUUAUACUUUAGUGUUAUCACACCACCUAAUAUCAGGUUUAAACAGUAUUCAUUGACUGGUGAUCAACUGAUAGCUCUCAGGCAAUAAAUGCUGUUUAAAUCAGGUGUGAGCUGGUAAGUAUGAAUUUAUGCUUUGUCAGACC